rnacentral:rRNA from 1 species
GACGAACGCUGGCGGCGUGCUUAACACAUGCAAGUCGAACGGAAAGGCCCUGCUUUUGUGGGGUGCUCGAGUGGCGAACGGGUGAGUAACACGUGAGUAACCUGCCCUUGACUUUGGGAUAACUUCAGGAAACUGGGGCUAAUACCGGAUAGGAGCUCCUGCUGCAUGGUGGGGGUUGGAAAGUUUCGGCGGUUGGGGAUGGACUCGCGGCUUAUCAGCUUGUUGGUGGGGUAGUGGCUUACCAAGGCUUUGACGGGUAGCCGGCCUGAGAGGGUGACCGGCCACAUGGGGACUGAGAGACGGCCCAGACUCCUACGGGAGGCAGCAGUGGGGAAUAUUGCACAAUGGGCGGAAGCCUGAUGCAGCAACGCCGCGUGCGGGAUGACGGCCUUCGGGUUGUAAACCGCUUUCGCCUGUGACGAAGCGUGAGUGACGGUAAUGGGCAAAGAAGCACCGGCUAACUACGUG